ensembl:lncRNA
GGAGCUGGGAGAUUCCCAGAGAAGAAAAGGAAAAUGUUACAUCCUGAAUGAAAAUUGAUGUUCCAAAACAGGAAGUAGAUAUCUGCCGUGUUUGAAAGGCCCUUUAGUCAGACAUUCACAUGUGUUCUCUGCAAUGGUUCCACUGAGUGUGUCAGUGUUGUGGUGUUGUCAAUGUUAAGACUUUUUUUAAAGACUUUGUCUCUUCACUCACAUUAUCUGUAUUGCACUCAUAUGCCUUAGUUUUUUACUUUGGUUUGCUGAACAAAUAUGUAUGUUCUAAAGAAUGCAAUUUCCUCAUAGACCUAAAUGUGAUUUUAGGGGAUGUACUCAUAUAAAGGGUCUGUCUUUGAUACCUCACAAUACUAUGCACUUCAGUGACUCGAAGCACCAAAAGUCUAUAUUGUAUAGCCUGGGAAACCAAUAUGUUGCUUUUGGAUAUUUCAAUUGAUACGUGUUCUAUUUCUUGUCAGUCAUAAAAAUGGCAACUGCUCAGAUCUAUCUGAAUAGAUUUCUCUGUUUCUAGUGUAGGAGUCUCACACUCCCUGUAAAAAAAAAAAAUGUAUUCCAGUAUACAUGCAAGAUGAUUUGUACUUUCAAAGUGAUUUUACACUGAUUUAGUUUGCAGUUCCUUCUCAGUCACACCAGUUGCACUUACAGAGUAGUGCAUUUAAGAUCUCUCAAUUGAGGAAUAAAUGUUUUUUGAAAGUAUGGUAUUUUUACAUGUUAAACAAUACCUUAAGAUGUGAAGUGGAAAAAUAACUCUUAGGCAAUUGCUAUUCGACACAGUCACAUGUGCCUUACCUAUAAAUACAUAAACCUGCCUAUUAUUAAUCCUAACCCUUCUCUUAACCUCUGGAGGAUUUUUAUGUUCCAUAGAUUUCUCAGUGAAAUUCACAUGAAAGAACAGAUAGAGUGCAUGCAACCCCACUAAUGGAAUGGACGUCUGACAUGUUUUGAGAUAUUUAAGACACAUUACCUGGCAGUCUGCUUCAAUGACGCCAGACCCCAUCAGUCACACCAGCGACACUACGCCUGCACACUUCUGAUGCUGGUUGGCUGCUGAGGCCAGUUUUGCCCCAAGGAAGGCAACAAAAGGGGCUUGAACUUCUCCAACCCCUUGAUAGCCUGACUGUCGAGCACACUCACCUACAAAUGCACUGGCCUUUUGGGUGAUAUGGGAAAGACCUAAUACAACACAUAGCAAAGAAAGACCGUAGGGGAUAGGUGACAUGACAGGGCUAUUGGUUUUUAGUAUUUUUCAAAAGGGGGUUGGGCUGAUGAGCUAUUUAAGCUCAUGGCUAAAGCACCCUGUAGGUGCUCAGCCAUAUAUAUAUAUAUAUACCCUGUGUUUAAAUAUUUUAAAUUUGGUAUAUAAUUUUAAGUGACAACAGUCUACAGGUUUGACACCUGUGCUAUCUGUAUUUUUUUACAAUGUAUGCUUUUUUUUUUCUCCCUUCUCUUCUUUAAUAAUCUAUUUAUUAAAACCUUUAAUUAUUGUGGUAGCUACUUAUUGCCUUUUAUUUUGUAUUGGUGGUUGUUUUGCUUUUGUGACCGCAGUAUGCUUUGUUUCUGAAGUGGAGCAUUAACGACGCCUUAAAUGAUUUCAG